rnacentral:rRNA from 1 species
GACGAACGCUGGCGGCGUGCUUAACACAUGCAAGUCGAACGGAAAGGCCCUGCUUUUGUGGGGUGCUCGAGUGGCGAACGGGUGUGUAACACGUGAGUAACCUGCCCUUGACUUUGGGAUAACUCCAGGAAACUGGGGCUAAUACCGGAUAGGAGCUCCUGCUGCAUGGUGGGGGUUGGAAAGUUUCGGCGGUUGGGGAUGGACUCGCGGCUUAUCAGCUUGUUGGUGGGGUAGUGGCUUACCAAGGCUUUGACGGGUAGCCGGCCUGAGAGGGUGACCGGCCACAUUGGGACUGGGAUACGGCACAGACUCCUACGGGAGGCAGCAGUGGGGAAUAUUGCACAAUGGGCGGAAGCCUGAUGCAGCAACGCCGCGUGCGGGAUGACGGCCUUCGGGUUGUAAACCGCUUUCGCCUGUGACGAAGCGUGAGUGACGGUAAUGGGUAAAGAAGCACCGGCUAACUACGUG